CAGGCGGGCGAACAGACACACUAAUUCCGUGAUGUUUUACUGACGACAGCGACGGCGGCGGCGACGACGGUGGCGAUGAUGAUGAUGAUGAUGACGACGACGAGGCAACAAUGAUGAUUAUGACGACGAUGACGACGAGACUACGGUUCUUUGGCCUCACGCGGAAAUUUGCCGGGUUCGAGCGCUCCGACCGGACCCAGCUAGACGAUCCGCUCUUUGUUUUUCGCCGAUGGACGUAUCUUCGUCUGCGACGAGCUUCCAACAAUUUGAAGGGGAAUAAAGAGGAAAGGAAGUAUCUCGUGCCUCUGUAUGAGACGGCGUGUAUUUAAAGGAAUCGGACGAAAAUUCAAUUAUUCACAGAGAAUCGCGAGGAACGGAUGCAUGUGGGUAGCGAGGCGCUUAUACGCGAGGACACGUGGGAAGGAAAAGAAAUGUAAGAGGAUCGUAGCAGUCGGUCGGAUAUGCGACUUGCGUUAGUGCAGCUUGGACAUCAUGUUCAAGGAUUAAUUCAAGCAUGUCGCCAACCAUUUCCGCGGUACGCGUCCUAGGUUCAACACGCUUUACGCUAAUCGAUUCAAUUAGAUAAUCUCCUUACGGAGCGUCGAACUUUGGGCGCGCAUAUAUAGACGCGUCCCUGUAUUUUCAUCCACUUUCUGUAGUACGUACACUCUCGCAGACCGACCUUCAACGUGAUAAGAAUUAUUUUCUCAAAUCAUACGCAUGACUAAUCUCCUCGUCGAUUUGUAAAAAUUAAAAGAUAUGGAAGAAAAAUGAGAGAAAAGAGAAAGGAUGAAGAGAAAAUAAGCCGAGCCAUGAAGAUCGGGCAGGAAAAAAUAAAGGUAUGUACAACUGAAGAAAAGUAUAAAGUUUGGAAUAUUGUGUUUGAGGACGAUAUGUUACCUAUUGAAUGAAAUAAGAAAGUGUAAUUUAUAAGAAAAAGGUGCAGAUAGUGUAAAGGUUAGGAAUGAAAAUUUAAAAAAUUAUGAAAGAAGAUAAAAGGAUAUUUAAAUAAUAAGAAUGAUAUUAUAAAGUAUUUAGAGAGAGGAAAUAUGACUAUAGAGAUAUGAGUAACUAAAUAAAUAGAAAUAAGAAAUGGAUAGAUGUAUUUGGUUAAGGAAUAUAAUUUUGAACCAAGUUUCCUUUUUAGCUAUAUAAGAAGAAUAUACUGAAUUAAAUAAAUAAUGAUGUAAUGGAUAUGAAAGGUGUACACAAAUAUAAUA